AGUAGAUAGCUUAACCUUCGGGAGGGCGUUUACCACGGUGUGAUUCAUGACUGGGGUGAAGUCGUAACAAGGUAACCCUAGGGGAACCUGGGGUUGGAUCACCUCCUUACCUUAAUGA
rnacentral:rRNA from 1 species